CCUUUAUGACCACAGUGCACCAUCUGAUGGCUGCUUCGAGCAGGACAACACACCAUGUCAGAAAGCUCAGAUCAAACUGGUUUCUUGAACAUAAUGAGUUCACUCAACUCAAACAACCUCCACAGUCUCCAGAUCUCAGUGUGAUAGAGCAGCUUUGAGAUGCGGAAGAAGAGGAGAUUCAAAUCAUAGAUGUGUGAUGCUGUCAUGCCAACAUGGACCAUGAAGGUCAUCAGGUUUUCUUCGGAGUUGUGGUUGCAAUCUUGUGGUCUUUGCCAGAGGAAGAACCUGCAGGCCGAGCUAUCACUUACUGUAAACAUUGUAAGGAUUUCAUUAUUGUUUGUAGUCAAAUGCUGUGCAAAUACUCUCCACCCUGCUUUGCACGUUGUUUAUUCGGGCACUUAGAAACAUUAGCAUGGAUAGGCACGCACUCACUCUCUGUUCUCAUGUUGCUCCACAGCCAUAAUUUGCCAUAUUGUUGACACAGAUGUGGCACAUCUGGCGGCUGUGGUAUAACUUUACUGUAUAUAAUCUAAGAUAAAAGCAGAAUUUGAUAUGCAACUGAUGAUGCAAAGAAAAUCUUGUUUAAAAAAGAAUGUUAUCCACUUUAUCAGGUUCUUCCUCCAGAGCCAGUUGAAACAGGAAAUGUCACCUAAAUUUAGGGUGGAUCUACUUACCCACUGGCUCAUCUUACCCCACUUUCCUCCAAGGACACGCUGACACUGUGUGUGUGUGUGGCAGGACAGAACAAACAGCUAAUAGGUUUCCACUGAUGAUUCUUCCACUGAUGAUUUGCUGUGCAUAGACGGAGAUCUGUUUCCUCCAUCACCUGUGUCUGGCACAGCCUCGUAGCCAUGGCUACCACAGCCAUUACACAAAAAGGUCUAACUUGCAUUAUUAACGCCCUUCACAUGAAUGCCUUCGGGAGCAUACGAUUUCAAGCUGAGGAAAAAGCAGACCUUGAAUGGUUUGUUAUUGGACUGCAGUGAAAAAGAAUAAAAGGACCAA